AAUAGUUUCUUUGGUGGUGACCUACUACAUGGAUAACCGUAGUAAUUCUAGAGCUAAUACAUGCGUAAAUCUCGACUCACGAAGAGACGUAUUUAUUAGAUAAAGACCGACCUCGUUCUGCGGUGAAUCAUAAUAACUUCACGGACCGCAUGGCUUUAUGCCGGCGGUGUUCCAUUCAAAUUUCUGCCCUAUCAACUUUCGACGGUAGGAUUGAGGCCUACCGUGGUGUUCACGGGUGACGGAGAAUUAGGGUUCGAUUCCGGAGAGGGAGCCUGAGAAACGGCUACCACA
rnacentral:rRNA from 1 species